rnacentral:rRNA from 1 species
GGGGGAAUCUUGGACAAUGGGCGCAAGCCUGAUCCAGCCAUGCCGCGUGAGUGAUGAAGGCCUUAGGGUCGUAAAGCUCUUUCGCCAGAGAUGAUAAUGACAGUAUCUGGUAAAGAAACCCCGGCCAACUCCGUGCCAGCAGCCGCGGUAAUACGGAGGGGGUUAGCGUUGUUCGGAAUUACUGGGCGUAAAGCGUACGUAGGCGGAUUAGUCAGUCAGAGGUGAAAUCCCAGGGCUCAACCCUGGAACUGCCUUUGAUACUGCUAGUCUUGAGUUCGAGAGAGGUGAGUGGAAUUCCAAGUGUAGAGGUGAAAUUCGCAGAUAUUUGGAGGAACACCAGUGGCGAAGGCGGCUCACUGGCUCGAUACUGACGCUGAGGUACGAAAGUGUGGGGAGCAAACAGGAUUAGAUACCCUGGUAGUCCACACCGUAAACGAUGAAUGCCAGUCGUCGGGCAGUAUACUGUUCGGUGACACACCUAACGGAUUAAGCAUUCCGCCUGGGGAGUACGGUCGCAAGAUUA